GUCCGAACAGGCUACAGUUAAUAUUUAGGCUACAAAAAUGUACUGAAUUAUGUUUUAAGUCAACUGUGCAUGUCAUGGCUUUGAGACACUUGGAUUGCAGUGGACAAGCAGUAGAUCAAGGACCUGGACAAAGGACCAUGAGUCUGCCUCAUCACAUCCGAGAAAAGGAGGGUCAAGACCUGUGAAAAAGAGGACACCUACAGAGGACCAGGAGUCUGAUACAUCACAGCCAGAAGAAA